UACGGGGGGGGCAAGCGUUGUUCGGAAUUACUGGGCGUAAAGGGCGCGUAGGCGGUUCGCUAAGUUGGAUGUGAAAACUCUGGGCUCAACCCAGAGCCUGCAUCCAAAACUGGCGGGCUAGAGUUCUGGAGGGGGUAGCGGAAUUCCUGGUGUAGCGGUGGAAUGCGCAGAUAUCAGGAGGAACACCGGUGGCGAAGGCGGGAUCCUGGGCCAGUACUGACGCUGAGGAGCGAAAGCGUGGGAGCGAACGAGG
rnacentral:rRNA from 1 species